UGGCGAACGAGGUAGUAGUAUAUAGGUACGUCCCCCAAAGUCGAGAAUAACUCAUCGAAAGAUGAGCUAAUACUCGAUAGUCUCUACGGAGUAAAGUUUUAACGCUUUGGGAACGGCCUGUACGAUAUCAGCUAGUUGGUAGGGUAAUGGCCUACCAAGGCAACGACGUCUAGAGGAGCUGAGAGGCUGACCCUCACCGAUGGAACUGAGACACGGUCCAUACACCUACGGGUGGCUGCAGUCGAGAAUCUUCCGCAAUGGGCGCAAGCCUGACGGAGCGAUGUCGCGUGAUUGAUGAAGUCCUUCGGGAUGUAAAGGUCUUUUAUGAGGGAGAAAGUUAUUGAUAGUACCUCAUGAAUAAGGGGUUGCUAAACUCGUGCCAGCAGCAGCGGUAAUACGAGUGCCCCAAGCGUUAUCCGGAAUUAUUGGGUGUAAAGGGUGUGUAGGAGGUUGUAUUAGUCGUGUGUCAAAACUCUGGGCUUAACCUAGAAUCUGCACGCGAAAC
rnacentral:rRNA from 1 species